rnacentral:rRNA from 1 species
GGGAAAGCCCGGUGCAAGCAGGGUACCAGUGCGGAAGGCAAAUCCGCCGCACAAUGGGAAGCUGUGAAGCGGAGCGAAAUAAAGUAGCGAAGUCCGUGAGCCAUGCGUCAAGAAAAGCCGCUAUUGUUUGUACCGUACCCGUACCGUAAACCGACACAGGUGGAUGAGGAGAGAAUCCUAAGGCCGGCGGAAGAAGCAUUGUCAAGGAACUCGGCAAAAUGGCCCCGUAACUUAGGGAUAAGGGGUGCCUGUGGAAACAGGCCGCAGAGAAUAGGCUCAAGCAACUGUUUAGCAAAAACACAGGUCUAUGCGAAACCGAAAGGUGAGGUAUAUGGGCUGACGCCUGCCCGGUGCUGGAAGGUUAAGAGGAGAGGUCAGAGCAAUCGAAGCCUUGAAUUUAAGCCCCAGUAAACGGCGGCCGUAACUAUAACGGUCCUAAGGUAGCGAAAUUCCUUGUCGGGUAAGUUCCGACCCGCACGAAAGGCGUAAUGAUUUGAGCGCUGUCUCGACAAUGCAUCCGGUGAAAUUGAAGUACCAGUGAAGAUGCUGGUUACCCGCGCCAGGACGGAAAGACCCCAUGGAGCUUUACUCCAGUUUGGUACUGGGAUCCGGUAUUGCAUGUACAGGAUAGGUGGGAGGCUGAGAAUGAGCAGCGCCAGCUGCACAGGAGCCGCUGUUGGGAUACCACCCUUGCAGUAUUGGGUUUCUAACCAGCCGCCGUGAACCGGCGGUGGGACAAUGCCAGACGGGGAGUUUGACUGGGGCGGUCGCCUCCGAAAGGGUAUCGGAGGCGCCCAAAGGUUCCCUCAGGAUGGACGGAAACCAUCCAAAGAGUGCAAAGGCAGAAGGGAGCUUGACUGUGACACCGACGGGUGGAACAGGUACGAAAGUAGGGCUUAGUGAUCCGGCGGUAUUAAGUGGGAAUGCCAUCGCUCAACGGAUAAAAGCUACCCUGGGAUAACAGGCUUAUCACUCCCAAGAGUUCACAUCGACGGAGUGGUUUGGCACCUCGAUGUCGGCUCAUCGCAUCCUGGGGCUGUAGUAGGUCCCAAGGGUUGGGCUGUUCGCCCAUUAAAGCGGUACGCGAGCUGGGUUCAGAACGUCGUGAGACAGUUCGGUCCCUAUCCGGCGUGGGCGUAGGAUAUCUGAAGGGAGCUGUCCUUAGUACGAGAGGACCGGGAUGGACGGACCGCUGGUGUACCGGUUGAGCAGCCAGGCUCAUGGCCGGGUAGCCAAGUCCGGAAGGGAUAAACGCUGAAGGCAUCUAAGCGUGGAGCCCCCCCUGAGAUGAGAUAUCCCAUUCGAAAGAAGUAAGACCCCUUGAAGACGACGAGGUAGAUAGGCUGGAGAUGGAAGUGCAAUAAUGUACGGAGUUGACCAGUACUAAUCGGUCGAGGGCUUGACCG